UACGUAGGGUGCAAGCGUUAAUCGGAAUUACUGGGCGUGAAGCGUGCGCAGGCGGUUGUGCAAGACAGAUGUGAAAUCCCCGGGCUCAACCUGGGAAUUGCAUUUGUGACUGCACGGCUAGAGUGUGUCAGAGGGGGGUAGAAUUCCACGUGUAGCAGUGAAAUGCGUAGAGAUGUGGAGGAAUACCGAUGGCGAAGGCAGCCCCCUGGGAUAACACUGACGCUCAUGCACGAAAGCGUGGGGAGCAAACAGG
rnacentral:rRNA from 1 species